rnacentral:rRNA from 1 species
GAUGAACGCUGGCGGCGUGCCUAAUACAUGCAAGUCGAGCGAACAGACGAGGAGCUUGCUCCUCUGACGUUAGCGGCGGACGGGUGAGUAACACGUGGAUAACCUACCUAUAAGACUGGGAUAACUUCGGGAAACCGGAGCUAAUACCGGAUAAUAUAUUGAACCGCAUGGUUCAAUAGUGAAAGACGGUUUUGCUGUCACUUAUAGAUGGAUCCGCGCCGCAUUAGCUAGUUUGUAAGGUAACGGCUUACCAAGGCAACGAUGCGUAGCCGACCUGAGAGGGUGAUCGGCCACACUGGAACUGAGACACGGUCAAGACUCCUACGGGAGGCAGCAGUAGGGAAUCUUCCGCAAUGGGCGAAAGCCUGACGGAGCAACGCCGCGUGAGUGAUGAAGGUCUUCGGAUCGUAAAACUCUGUUAUUAGGGAAGAACAAAUGUGUAAGUAACUAUGCACGUCUUGACGGUACCUAAUCAGAAAGCCACGGCUAACUACGUG